AGCUCCAGUGGCCUAGUGGUUAGAGCAUCCACCUUUGGAUGCGGGAGGUCGCGAGUUCAAACCCUGGCUGAGUCG